rnacentral:rRNA from 1 species
GACGAACGCUGGCGGCGUGCCUAAUACAUGCAAGUUGAGCGCUGAAGGUUGGUACUUGUACCAACUGGAUGAGCAGCGAACGGGUGAGUAACGCGUGGGGAAUCUGCCUUUGAGCGGGAGACAACAUUUGGAAACGAAUGCUAAUACCGCAUAAAAACUUUAAACACAAGUUUUAAGUUUGAAAGAUGCAAUUGCAUCACUCAAAGAUGAUCCCGCGUUGUAUUAGCUAGUUGGUGAGGUAAAGGCUCACCCAGGCGAUGAUACAUAGCCGACCUGAGAGGGUGAUCGGCCACAAUGGGACUGGGACACGGCCCAAACUUCUACGGGAGGCAGCAGUAGGGAAUCUUCGGCAAUGGACGGAAGGCUGACCGAGCAACGCCGCGUGAGUGAAGAAGGUUUUCGGAUCGUAAAACUCUGUUGGUAGAGAAGAACGUUGGUGAGAGUGGAAAGCUCAUCAAGUGACGGUAACUACCCAGAAAGGGACGGCUAACUACGUG